UACACAGUUUUCUUAUGGUGCUUUCUU
rnacentral:piRNA from 1 species